rnacentral:lncRNA from 1 species
CCUGAACCAAUUCAAAACUGUAGAGCUUUGCAUGAUAUACAAUGUAUGUAUUCAUUUAAAAAGUCUCUCUCCUCUACACUAAAAUACACAUGUAAACGAAAUUUGAUACAGAUGUGUGGUGUCAAAGUCCAUAUUGUUAGAUGGCUUUUUUUUUAGACAAAAAAGCAAUGCAGUGGAUACUACAAAUGAACAAAUAAACAUAAUCGAUUACAGAAAAAAAACACAGAAAGAUGUGGUAUGGUUGACAAUGUGACAACUGUUAACUAGUUCCGUGAACGUAAUUUCUAUGAAAGCUUUCUUAUAUUAAUUUGACGAAGGAUAUAGGACUUAAAUUAAAUCAACAUGUUUUACUUCCUGUCUCAAGCGUUCACCGAUAAUUAAUUUUUAAUUCAAUCAUCUUUUUUGAGUUUCAAUAUCAACUUCCAAAUAUGAUGCAUUAACAUUUUUGUUUAACAUUACAGUCCUUUUUCAACUUUCUACAAUGCAAUUUUAUGAUGUAAAUGUCAAUCCUCCAACCAUCAUUUUGUCUACUGCUGUAUUCUAACAAUUACACUUGUAUUUAUUUUAUUUAAGAUAUAUGAAUACGUAUUUGAUUGGUAGCAGUAAAGAAUUUAACCAAUAAGAAGGAUGUUAAAGCGUGUGGCUUAUGCAUUAACUAGUUACAAAUAGUAUUGCAUUAUUUUGAAUAAACAGAAGUAAUAAUGGUAAUUGUAAACAAUGCAAGCAUCAUUUGGUAUCUAUUCUCUGAUACUCAUUUAAUAUUGUUAAAAAACCCAAACCAUUCUGAUGUACAAAAAGUAAGAAAAUCCAAUGGCGGUCAAUUAGUUCCAUUAACAUCAAGAAAUGUUUGCAUUCUUAUUCAACAUAAAAAAAUUAUUAACAACGUAUUUCAAAUAAAAAGAAAAAAAAAAAGAAAAAUAAUGAAAUAAUAUAUUAUGCGUGAAAUGUAAUUUAUAUAUUUGUUAAUGUGUUGUGUUAGGUUACUGAUGGAUUAAGAAAAAACAAGAUGAACCAGAACUAAACACAUUAUCUGAAUAGAUCAAAGCUAUUCGUUUUUGCAUUUAAAAACGCAUUCAGAAACUACUAUACACUGUGGGCACAUGACUUUCUAUCAAAUUCAAGAACCCGGCAGUUGUAGAUGCUUUAUACUCUUUGCAUGACAAAUAUGUCGUUGUUCCAGCAGAUAAAGUGUUCAGUAAUAGAGUCUUCGUAUGUGAAAACCAUUAAUUGAAAUGUCUCAUACAAUAGCUUUGAUAAACAACAAUUUGAAAACAGUUUUUCUUACGUAUUCUUAAACAUCAUUUAUAAGGGAUGAAAUUUUACAAAAUCACCAAUCUGUCCGUCUUUCGUUUGAUAUUACCAUGAAUGAAAACGAAGAAAAUCUACCGUUAUUAUAAUGGAAACUUAAAAAAUAAUCGUUAUAACGAACGAUUAAAACCUGGAUUAUCAAGAUGUUAAAAACUACAGUCCAAUUCAAUUAUCUAGAUUUAUAUUAGCAGGCAAAAUCGAGGGAAAUGUGCAAAUGAUGAUACAAGCAUGAAAAUUACCACAAAGCAUCAUUAUUAUAUACUUUUUAAAACAACUGCUGGCCAUUAAAAAAAUCAUUUUUUCAAGAUGGCCACGGCCUUUUUCUAAAAUGGCUGUUUUUACAGUCUGAAAAUCGUGAUUUUUUUCUGGGA